rnacentral:lncRNA from 1 species
CGAAAAGCAUUGUUUCAGUCCAACAACCCAAACUUCCUUAAAAAACUAAGACCAAAACGACGACAUUAGGAAACGGAAAAUCAUGCAACUCAGAAAACCAUUGCUCUAGUCCAAAUGAGGUUCUUCAAUGCCUCAAGCUUUUCUAAACACCAUAGCCUGAACCUUUUCCUUUGCGCCUUCUUUACUUCACCAGAAACGUUCUUAAUGAGCUCUUCUUCAAAUUUGGGACGAGCAGGCAUUAGGCUGUGCACAAUGCUGUAAAUGCUCCUAGCCCUUGCCACACCCUAGGCGCAUACGCGUGCAUGUCCGACCUGAGUUAUCUCAUUACGCGCGCAGUUUGAUCUUCCCGUAUUGACAUCCCUGCUGUCUAUUCUCCUGCGAAUCCUUCUACUGGUGACUUCAUCCGGGUCCAUUUUCUUGCUCCUCAGUGCAUGUUCAUCUGCUUUUCCAUGUUAAUAGAUAUAGGAAUCCUAUGAGAAACAACAUUUGACAAAACAGAACCUAAUAAUAACAACAAAACUUGACUUCAUCCUCAGUGCAUGUUCAUCUGCUUUUCCAUUUCAAAGCAGCUGACGGCAUGAUUCGUACUUGGACUCCAAGAUGUCUAGAUUAUAGGGAAACCAGCCCUCUAUCCAAAACACACAAAGAAGUGUAUUUUCCGUUUAUACCAAUUAAGUGUGUUGAAGCAUGUCCCACAUGGCCACAUCGGAAACUUGUCGAAGCUUAAAUCCUCUUAUAUAGAAAGUUGAACUACUAAUGCCAUGAGGCCUUAAUUUUGUAUAAAACCAUACUUAUUGAAUUGCACACGUGCUUAAGUUAAGGUCAGUAUUGAUGGCAAUUAGUAGUGGGCCGCUGGGCCGUCUUAAAAAAACUGGUACAAAGGGCAAUUUAUAGAAGCAGUGUUGAGAUAAGGGCAAUUCACCUGUUCCUUUUAGAAGGAUAUAUACGAAUGAAGCAAGGUUUAUCUACUCACCCGUAAUGCGGCUCAGCCCUUCAUAAAAAAGUGAAAGAUCAAAAUUACUUUUACAGCAAGAGCAAUACCAGAAGAUGUAAUCUAAAUUAUUUAUAUUUGGUUCCCUUGAAAUCCUUUUGACUGCUUCAACAUACUAUAUGCAAACAGAACCAGAACCAAGUCCAGACUCACUCGUAAGAGGAAGUCCACCGGGGGUGGGAUAGGUCGGCACCCAAUGGAAAAAACAGGCUGAGACUCAGCCAAUCCACUCCAGCCCGUGGAAUCGACUGGCACCCAGCCCAAGCCAGUCCACAGGCCGACCUAAAAUUGACAGACCUUGGGACCGGCUCAAAUGACAACUAGCUGACGCCAGCGUGGUGUCGAGGGCAAGGAGCCACGGAGGCAAGGCAAAGACCAACUUCCCCACCCCCACUAAGCUCCAUCUCGACGCCGUCAACAUCGCCAACAUGAACAAUGCCGCCAAAUUAGCUGCGACGACGAACAUCAGCAACAGCCACAGCAGCACCGUGGAGUCCUCCUCCUUGCCGUCUCCGCGCCCGCUCGACCUCACUCUCAAAACCCCCCUCUUGUCCACCGACAGCGGCUACUUCACUGCUGCGAGCGGCUUCCGCCUGCUUCCCGCUUCCCGGGAAUUAUCCUUCCGCGAAAGAUCCCCCCGCGAAACUUGUAGGUUCGACCACCCCCCCUCCCCCACGAAACAUCCCCAUAUUUUCCUUCCGGACCAAGUUUGUUCCUCUUUUAUGUAAGAAACAAAAUCCCUGCCCAGCUUUAUAAUAAUUAAUUUAUAAUAAAAAAUAAAUAUUUUUAUUAUUUUAUAAUAAAAAUAAUAUUUUAAUAAAAUUGACUAGGCUAUUUUUUGUUAGGGAUAGAGAUGCAUUGGCCUAUUACUAUUCAUUAGAGUCUAUCGGGAAUGGAUAAAUGGGUUGGGUGCUGGCAUAAAGUCCUUAGAGGUGGACUUGCUCUAAUAGGUCUCCUCAUCCACAACAAUAUCCCAGCUUUCCCUUGUCGUGGUUUUCCCAUAUUUGUGCACCUUACUGCAAAGAGAGAGCAAGUUAACUUGUCAAAGAAAAACCAGAACAAUAGAUGCCAAUGCAGUUCAGAAAGCUUAUUUCCCUUCAUACCCAUUUCCAAAGUGCUCCUCCCCACGUCCUUGACCAACCUAGACAUGAGACAACAAAAACAAAGUUACAUCAGAUUAAAUUAUUGAAAGAAAAAGGUUCACUUCUGUUGUAACAAAUUGACAUUAGAAUCAAGCAACCACGCUAUGAAAUACAAAGUUAAAAUGUAACAAUUUACUGUGUCUUAAAGGAAUCUGUGAAAUAAAAUAGUUAAACCCUAAACAACACCACUGCAAAUUAGGGGUGGGCGCGGUUCAGUUUUGAUUGAAACCAAAACCAAAACCGCAAGUUUUUGCGGUUUGGUUCGGUGCGGUUUUGAAGCCAAAACCAAAAUGAAACCAAACCGUUUGGUUCGGUUCGGUGCAAUUUCAAACGGUUUCAGUUUGGUUUUUAAGAAAAAAUGUACGAUUUGCAAUUUAACAUAUUAAAAAGCAUUUCCCAAUAGUAAUAGGAAAAUGACAUUUGUUAUGUAAACAAUUAGCAUGUUGCAUGUAGUUGUGAUGUUAAAACAUGUUUGUGCAACAAAAAGGUGUCCCUUACAAUAUUUUUCAUAAAACAAGUUGAAUAAAUUUGAAUUCAUUAAACGUGAGCGAAAUUUUCAUACUAGAAUAUGUGAUAUCAUGCUUCAAAUGAGUGGCCUUUAGUAGAUCAUUGUUCGACUCUUGAUAACAAGAUUAGUCCACCCUUGUACAUAUAUGUGUGUGUGAUGGUAUAAAAUAACAAAGGUCAUUCAAGUUAAUGAACAAAAGAGAGUGAUGAAUGAUGAUAUUCUAGUGUGGUUGAGUCCAUACUAAGUGUAUGGAUUUUAACAAACGACCAAUUAAAACAUGAAAUCUAAUAUGGACAUUUAAUUAAAUGUUUAUUAAUAUUUGCGGUGCGGUUUUCAAAAGCCAAAACCGAAACCAAACCGUUUUCUAUGUUGCGGUUCGGUUACAAAACCGAAACCGUUUCAAAACCGCAAAACCAAACCGUUCGGUGCGGUUCGAUUUGGUUCGUGUUUCGAUUUCGGUUUUCGGUUCUAAGUGCCCACCCCUACUGCAAAUAGCAUAAGAAAAUUAAAAUUAACCCUAAAGAAAUUGGGAGAGAAGAAUAUGAAAAGGGAAUACCUUUCGGCCCUUUGAGUUAUUGGAAAAAACCCAACAGAGCAAAAGAUAAGCAAAAAUACAGGAGGAAAGAAAAUAAAUUUUCAACUUGUAAGAUUCAUACGCGAACAUAUUGGCGGUCAAAAGCAUUUCGGAACUCAGAGCCAUCAAGCUUUUUGAUCUGCAUGGAAAUUAUUUAUGAAGUUUGAGAUUCUUAUAGACGCUUUAGACACAUCGACAUAUUGAAAAAGCAAUAUUCAACAACCUAGUACCCAUGCUCCAUGAAAGGUUACAGAAAAUAUGAAUGACUGGACUCUGGAGUGAGAAAGUAAAAGGACUUACCGCAUACUUCAUAUCUUCUAAGUUUGUGUAGUCUACAAUCCCUGUUGUGCCUACAAAAAAGGCAUAGGACAAAAGCUAAAUCAAUCGAAAUUCUGAUGUCUCAUGAUCUAGGUCGUAGGAUUAAACUACUGAAAUAACACUAUAUGAAAUAGCAGUGUAUAUCCCAAAAAAAGUCUGAAAUCUGGUUGAUAAUUGAAGAGUUCGAAGGGAUUUACCUUUGGAUUCUUUGGCUUUCAGAUGGAGUUUGCUUAUGUGUGGGGGAGAGAGGUGGAGCGGCUAGAGCUUGAGUAUGGAAGAGAUGAAAAAUGCAGAGAGCACCUGUUUUGGCUGAAGCAACUCACACACUCUGGACAAAUCUGCAAAUGUCUAAAAGGGGGAAAAUAUAAAAAGAAACCUUAACAACUGAAUUCAAAGAAACAUUAUUACAUUGUAAAUAACAUUUCACAAAAAAAAAAAAAAACUAAACUAAACUAAUUACACUCGGAUUGCAAUGCUAUCAUUUAAUAAUAGGAAUUCCCAUAACUUAGCAGAAGACCUGCAUCUGCAAAGGAUUCUUUAAAACCUAUUUUUUUUAACAACCCCGCACCUGCAACACAUCCAGGCAAGGUAAACCAAUAGCACCCUCAUGCUGAGCUCUUCUGUGCAUAUAUACCCCUUAUAAGUAAUCUUAAUCAAUCAGUUAUCAUGAAUAUAGUCAGUUAUCAUGAAUAUACAACUUAUAUUAAUUUUCUACAAUAUCCAACACACAAAUAUAACAGAAGAGGAAACUUUUACUUAAGCAGCACAAAAUGAUAUCCUCUGCAUUUCAUUCCAAAAUCCAUCACUCUUAUGUCUUUGCCUGCACAGUUUUUGCUCCAACAUAGCACACCAUGAUGAUAGCACUAUCAAUAAUUAAGACAUAAAGAAAGGCUAUCCUAGCUAGGUAUUAUCAUUGGAGUAAACCAACAACACCAUAAGUAAAGUAGCAGACCAAAUUUUUUCUAGAAUUGAUGUCUUAACAUGUUUAAGUAGCGAAAAGAUUACAACACAUUGGAUGUGUUAACACAUCCAUAAGCUAAUGACUCCCUCUCCAGUUUACCGCAUCAUUCUUAAUGUAUUCAACAAUGCAGCAGUAAUUAAAAGUCCUUGGAAAAUGCCAAGCUACUACAAUGACAUAACGAAAACUAUAUCUCACCAUACCCCCUUGUUGGCAUAGACAGCAUAUCCGUCCUUGUUCAGGGUGAAUCAUUAUCCUGAACUCAAUUAUCAUCAUCGUCGAGAAUGUCAAACUUUAAAUCAACCAUGCAUGGAACAAAACCUAGAAAUUAAACAAUUAUCAAAGCUUAUGAAGAAUGCUAAACCCAACUAAUUCGAAACAUAAAGUAACCCAAAAGAGAGAAAACUUAUAAAUUUUACAUAAAUUAUAAUCCUUAACAGAAGGAUGGAACAAAGCAUGUUCAUUCUUGAGAAUAGGUGUAAUUUUGCACAUUGCAUAUAUGUACAUUAAGGACGGUGGUAACAUACCUUGUAAUUUGUACAAAUUAGGAUUUUCAUUCAAAGAACCAUAAUAUACACAAUUACAAAAACAGUGAUACAAACUUGUUCUUCUCUUAAGGAAAUUACUCACAGUUGAAAUUCUGAAUGGACAAAGUUUUGGCAUCCCUUUCCGACUAUAUUUGAUUAACCUUUUUUUAAUCCAAUGAGUGCCUUCAUGAGAGAGAGAGAGAGAGAGAGAGAGAGAGAGAGAGAGAGAGAGGAAUAUUCGGUGAAAAGUAUUGCCAAAUCACACAGAGAUCAAAAUCUUGAAUAUAUAUGUUUAACCAUAUCAAAGUGAGUGUGUGAAAGGGUGUAGUCUGCAGAAAGGGCAACAUUUUCACUGCUAGAAAGUUGGAAACUAAACUUUUACACAGAUAUUGGAUUUUAUUAAUUCCCUCCGCGAAUUGAAAAGCAAAUUGUUCGAGUAAUGCAGGUAAAUUCGAUAUACAUAUGCGUUGAUCUAUGUAAGACGGUUAUAAGUUAUAACUGUAUCGUCUUAACACAAAAAAUGAUCAUAAAUGUAAGUGUCUGUAUUAUGGAAGUAAGGGACUUGCAGCAAUUGCUAUGAGCUCUAACAGCAGUCACUCCAAGUACCCUAUUAUGGAAGUAAGGGACUUAGUAAGGGACUUACAUCAAUUGCUAUGAGCUCUACCAGCAGUCUCUCAAAGUGGUGCAAGGGCUAAAAUUAUAAAUAAAAAGUAAUUUAAACAAUUUAACUUAAUAAAAUAUUGUAAUUUAAACAAUGCCUAUAUAUUCAAACAUCCCAAAACAGGAAUGAACUUCCAGAAAACAUGCGCAUGAAAAUAAACGGCAUUACUCACCCAUUGAGUUGGACCAUCAAACUAGAGCGUAAGAAGGAUCAUCAUGUACCUAUGAAACCCAAAGGAAAAUUUUAGCAACCCCAAAGCUUGUAUGCAAGCGUGAAUAAGUAUGCAUGUAUGAAUCUAUUCAUAGUGAAGAAGGCUACCUUAAGAAAUAUUUGCAUCUGCAGCUUCAUAUGGCCAUACAACAAAAAGCACCGCAUAUGAUAACAAACCCCAGCUGCACCACAAAAGGAAUAUGAUCUUCCUCUCAACUUGUAUUUGUAGUUGUUACUGUAACAUCUGCAGACAGCAUACAUAAGCACUGAUUCGAUAAUUCUAAAGGGAAAAAAGUCCUUAUUCGAUAAUGCACCAAAUCCUAUCCAAAAACCAAGUGGGUGCCAUAUCCCUAGAUUAACAGAGCAUCUUUCUUUGUUCCAAAACAAAUUGCAAUUGGCUUUGGUAAAGUAGAAAGAUUACCAGAUACCGACUCUGUUCCAUUAUUCGACUGUCCUUUUAGUUCUGUCUCUCAACAUGGGAAAUACAAUAAGACAGUAAAAACAAAAGUUAGUGAUGCUAUUACAUAGUGAAAGAAAAUAAGACAUUCACAUAUUGAUAGCUAUUUACUGUCCUUUCUCAUCAUAAUCUUGGCCCCUAUAUAUACAUAUAUUGAAUUUUGAAAGCAAUGAGAGAAAUAUACCUUUGGGGCGUCACCGCCAGAAGGGUGAGUGAGGGAUCUAAGAUGUUUAAGAGCAGGAAUUUUUAAGUAAUUUGUGUGAAAAAGUUGAAGAGCUUCGAACAUAGUGGAGUGGGUUGGCCUGGGCUAAAAUAAAGAGGAUGAACUCUAGAAAGUAGAAAAUGUUGUUGUUCAACCAAACUCAAAAGUAAAGAAACCAUAUGAUUAACAUAUAAAUAAGUUUUAUAUACCAAUGUUUACAUGUACGUUGUUUGAGAAGGUAAAUUAGCAACAUAUACAGUGAUCAAAAGAUUAACAGCAAUAAACUGCUCAUUAUUCGAAAUAUACAAGAAAGUUGUCAUUCACAUGAUCCAAAUGGCAGAGGACAAAACAGAAGGAAGCAAAUAUUAUAGCAGCAUAAGUUGAAUAAUUGCAGCAAGUAAACAAAUAGAAAGGCUAGCUAGAUUACACAAUCCAGUUCUAGGUCGGACUAACCAUGUUAGCCAUCCGCCCACCACCAGCACCGUCGGCUUCUUAUUAAAAAUGUAGAAUAGAAGACUAAAAAAUUGGAAAUGAAAGCAGGUAACAUUGAGUUUUAAUAACCAAAAAGGGACACUGUUUAAGCAGCUCCACAACAGCAAUAAUACUUGGAUGAUGACCUGCAAAAACAGAAAAGAAAACACAAAUUAAACUAAAAAAAUAUAAAAUUUAACACUAAUCCAAGGAUUAAAUAUCAAAUAUAAAUUCAUUAGGAUUGGGACCUUUGCAUUGAGGAAUAUCUACUACAUUAUGAGUUCCCUCUUGAUAAAGCCCAAUCAGGGGGUUUUUCGAUGAGCCAAGAACGGCUAACUUUGCGUGACACCGCCAUCCCCACUAACACCAAACCCAGAUAAUAUCAAGAUCAAAACUAACCAAUACCAGAAAGAUUUUUUUAUUUAAAUUUUAAGAAAAGACCUAAACUUUACGAAAUUAAGGGGGAAAACAAAGUUAAGUAAAGCACCAAUUUGCAACUGUCAAAAGUGAAAUAUGAGACUCCAACUGUCUAGAAGAACUCCGUGGCCUCAUCGACGAUGACCGGAUGGUGGAGAUUGAACUGGUGCGUACACCCGAAACACCUGAUUAUACACCGAACAGAGAACAAAAUUUAAAUCAAGUCGAACAAUAAUUAUGAGAAAAUAAACUAAAAGGGAUUUGAGCUGAGAGUUACGAUUCGAAGUGCGGGCAAUGGAGGGUGCAGGUUAGCGGCGGCAGAGAAGGGGUUGAGCUUGGGUUCAGGUCCGUUUUAGGAGGUGGAGGCUCUUGAUAGAAGAUUGGCAUUGGAGUCGUUUUACAAAUCAGUUUCUUCCUGAACAUCCUAAUGUCAGCUUCUAGAGUUUCCUGUAAAAGAACAGACAACAUUCAUAAUAAGAAAAUCUCUCUAUGCAAUCGCAGAAAUCCCUCGGGUUUCAGGAAGCAAAUGGAAAAUGAAAUGCUUUUCUCCCGUAUCUCUCUCUCUCACCUCUGUCCCAUCUCUCUGUCUCCAAAUCGCAGAAAAGAAACCCUAAACAAAUCCCUGAAAUCCCUCGCCUAAAUCCUCCUACAUUUCUCUCGGACAACCCCCUCUUUCUCUUUGCAAACCCUAAACCAAAUCUCCUAAAUCCUAUCUCAGGCACCACACAUACAGCCAAGAAGCCAAGAUAUUAAAGCAAUCUCUAUAUAAUACUUUGGAACAAUGAAGAAAAAUGGUACUUACUUGUUCCUUGUCCAAAACAGUUGGUGCCGCCGCACAUUGUUAUCAAUUGUGGGUUGAUCAAAUCCUUCAUGGCUUAGACUGCAUGAAGAAUUAGAAACUAAAAGAUGAAUAUAUGCCGUAAAUCAUCAUAUAAAUGUAACUGCAUUUAAAAAAAGAAGGGAAUGACAAAAUUGAAUUCUAUUUCAUCAGUAUGUAACUGCAUGAAAAGUUACUUUGAAUGAAGACUCGAUCAAUUUCCCCAAAGUCAUUGUUAACUGAAAAUCAAUAUCAAACCCAUAAAUACCACAUUGAAUUUGACCAAGUUAAAGGAUAAAGGCAGUCGCAUCAUCGUAUUACUCUUUGGGAAGAUCUUCUAAUAAUGGUUCUUCCUUUUUCUUGCUCUUCCUCAGAACUGCCAUAAAAACCCCAGAGAAGCAUACAAAUUCAGAAAAGAAAAGGUUCAAAACUGCCAUAAAAAAAAUCCAGAAAGCAUACAAAUUUAUCAGAAAGAAAAGUUCAAAUUACAAAUACCAAAUGAUGUGAGUGAGUAGUGAGAGGUUGUGUUAGGCACCUGAAACACAUUUUGGUUUCAAUUGAAAGGGCCAGAGACAACAUCCACAUUCUUUUUUCUUGGGUGAACUAACCAAAUCAUAUUAUAUACUAAAAUGACAUAAAAAAUCAUUCACAAACUCACAACAAAAUAGAACAAAAAGAUUCACAAAAGAUUUGGGAGUUGAGACGCUAACAAAAACAUUUCUUUUCUAAACAAAUACACAACCGCUAAUCUGGGUUUGGUCAAUUUAACUAAAACGGUGCGCUAUUUUGCAUCUAAAUAUAGUAUAUCGCUUAAAUAAAAUUAAUAAAAAAUACACAUCCAAAGCUUUUAGUCCAAAGCUAGAAUUAGGAAUAACUGAGGAAGUUAAUGAAGGCAAAGCAGAGGGUAGGAUGCAGAACAUACCAAGAGACCAGUAGGCCAUCGGGGCCGGUCUGCCGAUGAACGCUGUGUACUGGUCGACAACGCCCAACGGAGUCGGCGCAGAAAAAAAGUAAAAGUCGAAACCACCCCCAAUGACUUUGUAGGUGAGAGAAGUCCCUAUGUAGAACACAUUCAUGCCAUUGCUGUUGAGCAGCAGAACGCAGUGCGCGUAAGCCUCGUUGCCCACAUUCCGGAGAUCCAUGUAAACUGGGUGGGACCCGUACAAAUCAGUGUUGAGAUUGAUCGCCGAGAAGUCAGUGGUGAAGAUGAUGUAUGGAUCGUUCGGGUAGAGCUUGAUCCCGUGCGGCUGAGAGUUCUCUUCGAGGCCGUACAAGGAGGAGUCUUUCGGCACUCGGGUGGAUAUCUUGAUGUCUGGUCCUUAAACACCAGUACUAGUCCAAUAAACCACUCCGCUUUUAUUGAUUUUCAAUUCAUGUUCAUUCGGGUCCCAAACAAGACUGAACGGCCCCGGAGCCGGGUUGUAGGUAUCUACAUAUGAUAUAAGUGCCCAGACGUGGCCAGCACUGCGGUUGACACCUAACUUCAUACCCGGUAAAAAUGUGUCUCCAGGAUAAUCACUUCAGCAGAUCGAGGGUGAUUUGAGGUGUUUUCCCGCUGAAUUGGACUUCGACCCAGGUAUGAAAGUUGUUCCUCUUAUCGAGAUCUUCAUUCAUGUAAAAUUUGGGAAUUUUAGAAUUGUUGAAUUCUUCGGCGAGUCAGGGCUACCAGCCGCCACGUGCUUCGGCGCGUGGCCCUUUGGCCGCCGUCCCAUGGCGGCUCGUGCGGUGAUGUAUGCAGGAAAACCUAAGGUUCCUCCUUAGGUUUUUCGAUGUACCAAACCCGAAUCCGCCGUCCUUUUUCCAAAAUUCUAACGUUUUCAUAGAGUUUUAUUAAACGACCUUUAAUUGUGUUUAGGUGCAUCGGUGGAAGUGACCUCAUUCUUGAUGGUUCGAGCGGCUUUCGGGCAAUGGAAAACUUGUGAGUAGACCCCUUCUAAACUUAUAUAUUGUUAUAAAAUAUUAGCCUAGCAUGCAUUCCAUAUUUCAUGAUUUGAAUAUGAUUUAUAAUAUGCUUUAUGGACUUUUAAUUAUGGUUUACGAAAUAGUUUGAUUUAUCGAAAUUACGUUUUAUUAGGUAUUGAAUUAUUGGAUUUGCAUAUAUGGAUUUCUAUGGUUUUCAAAUACGAUUUAUAUUACGGUUUUACGAACAUGAAUUAUUUUAUGGAUUUCAUGAAUACAAUUUAUCUUGGAUUUAUGAGAUGAGACUUUGAGCUAGUGAGCUCCGGGUUUGAUAUGAGUUUUGAGAUAUGUUUUUGGUACUUAUCUAGUGGGUUAUCAUACAGCACAUCCGCACACCACGGGUAUAGAUGUGUAUGGCCAUAGGACACAGAUGAUGAGGAGGAGUAAGAUAUGAUAUAUUAUAUACCCCCAGUUCACUAUCGAAAGCAGUGUCAGAUAACCUCACUAGCCAUGGCUAGUGUCGGUAUGGAUGUUAUGCUAUUUCAUACAGCUUCACCUUCGGGUGAUAGACAGGUUAUUUAGCUUCACCGUCGGGGUGAUGGACAUGUACUACCUUCGGCCAACUAUGAUAGCCUUAGUUGAGCACUUCACUGACAAGAUUUACAAAUUUGCCUUCGGGCAACGACAUUUUCAUUAUCAAGCACUGGAUUUUACAUAUCUACCUUCUAAAUGGAUUUUCAUGGCAUGCUAGGGUUUUUCAUAAAGCCUAUAUGUAGUAUUAUAUAUGUUUUCAAAAUAAGGGGUUAUUAUGUUCAUAAAUAAAAUGUUUUCCUAUUAUUAGUAUUAUUAAUAUAAACUUUGGUCCACUCACCUUUUCAGUUUUUGCGCCUCCUCAGGAGUUAGGAUCGAGGCACAUGAUCCCGGCAUCAUGGCAUGUUGAUAUAGGUAUCCUUGAAUCUUCUCAGUGUAGGUAUCAUUCCCUUAUUCAUAUCUUUUUAUAGUGAUUCUUCCCUAUUAUUUCUAAUUAGUUGUAUGCUCUAAACACAUUCCUGCUUUGGUAAUCGUUAUAACUACUUAUCUUGUAAUUGUUUGCAUGUUUAAAAUGGUUUUGUCACCCUUGGGCGUGGGCUAGCACGUGCCUACCCUGGUAUGUUGGGAUAUCGGGGUUGGGGCGUGUCAAAGAUAGAGAGUGAAUUUCUAGCAGAUUCAAUGGUUGUCUACAUUUUAAAAAGAGCUUGCCGAAAAGAUUGAUUCAGAUGAAAUAACAAAGGAUUUCAAUUCCAUUAAGGAUUGAAGGGCACAACUUGAAUAGGUAUUUUUCUUUUUAUUUGUUAGGUUGUUAUGACAAGAUUGACGAUGUAUGUUUCUUUAUAUUGUAAGUUGCAACUUUAAAGGUUUUCUUUGUUAAAUCUAGUUGAAACUUGAUUCAUUUAGAGUUAAAUUUCUUACUUCAAAUUGUUGCUUUUAGGCUUAUUAUUGUGUAACUUUAUGCAAGCAACAAAAAAUUUUAACCAUUUGAUUUUGUACUAAUAAUUUUAGCUUAGCAUGCCACCAAAUAAUUCAUGGCUCCGCUAUUGAAAUCUUAGCAUGUGCAAUUUCAAAGUCUCGGUUGCCAAGUCUCCCCAGGCUGUUCAGCACCCAUUCUGAAUCUUGAUCGAGAUCUAGAGCAGUGCAAGUCAAGGAGUCUUCAUUCUCAUUUGAAACAAUGCUAAAAUUAUACCUCAGCUUGGACUCCUUGGGCAAAAUAUACCCAAAUGUAUUAGUACUACUUGUGGAUACACCACUAGUCCAAAAAAAUCACCUCUCCUUUCUUAAUCUUCAAUUGGUGAGGGUCCCAAUCAAGCGUGAAAGGCCCCGGCGCACGGUUGGCUUUAGUUUCCCAUGAUGAAAUCCACGAAACAUGGCCGUUUGUACGGUUGACACCCAAUUUCAUGCCCGGUAAAAAGGUGUCAACUGGUAAUCAAAGCUUUACGUUCACUUCUUCUUGUACAAAAUUUCCCGAAUCCAAAAGGAUAGCCACAACAGUAGCAAUACUGUUACUUAUGUUGGUAGACCUAGUAGUUUGUGGAGCUGAGAAAAACGCAAUUGGAUUAGGAUCCCCCCCGCAUAAUUUUCAAGGUUUUAUUCCUGUCCAAGGCAAGAGUGCGUACAAAAUAGGGGCUUUACGGUUGCAAAUCCAAGCAAUGUUGCCAUCGGCCUUGUUGCUCUGGAUAGAUACGUAGCUGGUGCUUUUGGAACUGUCGUCGUGUACACAGGAACUGAAACUGAACUUCUCCGAUGCAGAGACCAAAGAAUUUGAGGAGUUGAGAGUGUCUCCUGCUGGUUUCAGUGUGUCCCUUGCAGGUCCACAGUCAGCAUGCAAAAAUGAUUAAGUUGAUUAUUGCCAUGAUUAAUUAAUGACCAUAACAUGAAGUUUAAUUUCUCCAUAUGAUGAGGAAGAAAGACAUGAAAUCCAUCACCAGAACAUGAUUAAGAAUUUAAUCAAGCAACGCGUCUCAGUUAAACCAUUACAAUCUUUGUACAAGGCAUUUAUAAAUUAAAAAAAAAGGGAAUAAAGUAAUAAUUACAAGUUUUACACAAGUGACCAUUUAUUACAAUGGUGGAAAGGUGUUAAGCUUUUGCAUGACGGUGUGAGUUCGAACCUCGUCGGUAGUUAAUCUACGAACCCCGUCGGUAGUUAAUUUAACUUCUAAUCUAAUAAAAUCUAUUUUUUGACCAAAAAAAAAAUAAUUACAAGUUUUACUAAAAAUUUAGGGGUGUGAUAUCCACACACCCCUUUUUACUUCUCUUACACCUUUUUUAUUUUCGACCGUCGGAUAUGAUGAAUUGAAGAAAAUCAACGGACAAAAAUUAACAAGGAAUGUGUGAGAAGUAAAAAGGGGUGUGUGGAUAGCACACCCCAAAAUUUAUCGGAAGACUUGAUCACCCAUUUGUAUGCUGACAACGGUGACUAGAUUCACAACCUCUUUCCCACGUAAAUCACAUCAUCCAAUUUUAUUUUUCUUACAACAUAUCACGUAUCUGUCAUAUGCAAGACUUUUUUUUUUUGUUUAACAUGAAAACGAAGACUUUUUUGGAAUAUGGAGAGUGAAAUUGCAGCGGAAGCAUCCUAGAUUUUUGAUCGAAUAUUGAGUUUGGUUUCAUGCCAGACUUCCUGGAUCAAACACACCCUAAAAAAAUAUAUAAAAAACCAAUAAGGUCAUGUGAUACGACAUCAUUUCAAGAGGAAAGGUACAAACAAUCUAGUUUCUAUACUAGGAAGAUUCACUCGAACAAAUUCUUGGAAACUAUGACUCAAACAAAAUUCUAGGAAUUCAGUAUUUUUAACAAAUGAUAAGCGUUUAAGAUAUAUUCUUUAUAAUAUUAGAGAAAUCGAACGGUUGAUCUAUAACUCGCAAAGUGGUUGUAGCUCAAGUAAUUUUACUCCCCAAUUUUACAUAAAACAUAAAAUAAAAACAAAUCCUAAUUUACAUGGUAAUUUUUUUUCAUAGCUAGGGACAACUUCGACUAUGGUAAUGCAAUUAAUAUACACUAGUUUUGGAUGGAGAAGUUUCAAGAUUGAGUAUGGGAUGGGGAGGGGCGAGAGACUUGGAUGGAGAGGUGAGGUUUUAUGAGUUAAACAGUGAUGCAAGGAUGUAUUACUUAAAACUUUAGAGACCGUAUGUUGGGCUAUAUAUAAUAUACGUUACAUGGAUAAUUGUUUAACUCAUAAACGUUUUGAGUGUUUCUAACAUAUGCUUAUCAAAAGCCUUCUCGUUCCAUCAAACAAUACGAAAAUUUUCAAUUGAAUGAAAGACAUACUAUUUUAUAUAUCACAGUACUUCAUGGAUCAUCAUCAUCACAUAUCCUUAAUUCAAAGGUAAUAAAUGAGCAUCUAGUUUUAUUUUAAUUUUAUUUUAUAUAGGGACUACAGAAGCAAGCACCCUCUGUAAAUUAAACUCUAAAACUUCUCAAGUAUCUUGAAAGGUGCCAAAAGCCAUCAGCCAACUCCAGUUGAUGCAUAACCUCCUACAUUUACAAAAACAGCGUCGCCGUUAAUUUAUUGACUUCUUCCCAGGACACAUACCAAUUUGCGAAAGUGGUUUGACUGAUGCUAUAAUUAGUCGAGUAAAGUACAGUCUUUUCAAUUAAGCAGAUGCAAAACACUUAGUUGAUGCACUACAAAUAUGAUUUUUACCUUUAAUUAACGCGCUUCAAAAUCAGAACUGGACUUGUAGUUUGCUGAAGCAACAGUUUCAAGUUGCUGAUUCCCACUUAUACCAGCCUCCACCGUCCUCCUUCCAACAAAAAAUGCUGGCUUUGUUGGUGAUGCUAAUGGAAAGCUUUCAUUUGUCAACAUAGAUAUGACAUCUGACAUGGUAGGGCGAUCUGCUGCAUUUUCUUCUACGCAAAGCAGACCGACAUGGAUGCAUCUUAACAGUUGCUCUUUAAUAAACGAAUUUCCUAAUGUUGGAUCCGUUAAUUCUAGCCCUGCACCUUUUUUCCAUAACUCCCAUGCCUGAAGAACAAGGAUUGCAUUUCAUUCUAAAGAAGAAAAAUAUGAUUAUAAAUUUUAAGAGAGAGAUUUGUUUGUCAUACAUAUCCUACUAAAUUGAGUGCGCGAUCGUCAUUGUAAAAGCUGUUGUUUUUCCUUCCACUUAUGAUUUCAAGCAUCAAUACCCCGAAACUGUAGACAUCAGACUUUACAGAAAUAAUUCCCCCCACGGACUCUGGAGGCAUGUAACCACUACACCAAAUGAAAAAGAAAAAUAGUCAGUAUACUUAUCUGGAAAAAUGCGUGUUUAGCAGUCAAAAGGGGAGGACCACGUCAAUAUGAUGCAGAAAUACUUACAGUGUCCCCGCAACCUUUCUAGUGUUUGCUUCCAAUUCAUUUUGGGUGAAAAUCCUUGCCAUACCAAAAUCUGAAAUUUUUGGGUUCAUGUUUUCAUCAAGUAGUAUGUUACUAGCUUUUACAUCUCUAUGAAUUACUUUCUUUCUUGAGUAUUUGUGCAGAUAAAGCAACCCUUGAGCAAUUCCUUCGAGAAUGCUAAAACGCUUCUUCCAAUCUAGUAGUAGACCUCUGAUUGGAUCUGUCCAAUAUGUUGAGUUAAGUAGGACUAAUAUUAAUUAAUAGUAGUACUCUAUGAACUUUGACAGUAAAAUAAAAAUCAGAUAGUAAAUUUAACAAAUGAAAUCAAGUAUCUUGGUUCCUCACCAAAUAAAAAGUGGUCCAAACUUUUGUUCUGCAGAUACUCAUAUAUCAACAUCAUUUCUUCACCAUGAAUGCAAAAUCCGAAAAGGUGAACCAGGUUUGUAUGUUGGAGUUCAUAUAUAAGUAUCAGUUCAUUCUUGAAUUCUGAUGUUCCUUGCCCUGAACAUUUCGAAAGCCUCUUCACAGCUAUUUCUUGUCCCGUUGCCAAUUUCCCCUGAAUUGAUAAUCCAUAUCAUGCUUUUGCUGUCAUUUUUAGGCAAUUGAAGCUAAUUCCAUUUUUUUUUUCUUACAGCUUUUGAAUUAGAAGCAGAAAUUUUUGUUUUUUCAAAAUGUUACCUUAUAAACCGGUCCAAACCCUCCUUGUCCUAGCUUGUUUUCUUCAGCAAAGUUUCUUGUGGCAGCCACGAUGGAUGAAUAGCUAAAAACGCUAAAAUCAUGAUGUCGCUUAGAUUCAUGAAGAUAAGCAUUUCGUUCUCAAGCGUUGUCCGGUUCUCACCUAUACAGAUCAAUUAUAAGAAAUUAAAGUUUCAAUGGAGACAACAAUUGUCAAAGAUGUGAUUAAUAAUCCUGUAUUACUGGUGCACAUGAUUUAAAGAAAUAUACCAGCUGAUGCAAGGGCUGAUCUUCUUCGUCGGAGUAGAUAGUACGCGGUGCAAAGCACUAGAGCAGCAGCUAUAGAAAUGCCAAUCCAAACCCAUUUAUCUGCUGCAUCAUAAACAAUUAGCUAGCAACAUAUGCAAUCAGUGUAACACACACGGACAUGUACGCAUUAAUUGUCUUCAAUUUUUGGAUGAACUAGGUCUUGCAGGUUUCUUCCGGAAAACGGAAAAAUUCGAGACAGAGAGCAGAACUUAAGACAACAAUAACAAAGAUAGAGGUACCUAAUAAUACUGAUUCCACGCGUGUCACAGAUUUCCGGCUCAAAUCGGGUUUGCAGCCUCGGUAUAUAUCCUUCGGAUCAAGAAAAGAAAACCCUUUUGGGCAUUCGCAGGUUGGCCUUUUAUCUGGUUUGAGCAUACAGGUACUGUUGUAACCGCAAACACCAACGCCCAGUCGUAGGCAAAUAUCAUCCGGCAUAUACACCAGAGGACUAAUCCAACUUGCAUUUCCCGUGAAGUUUUUCUGGUGAGAAUAUAAAGCGAAAAUCCCAUCAAAAUCAAGAGUUGCCCUUAUGUAGUUGUCCCUCACCGACACUCCCUCUGUCCCCUUAAGAGGGACUCUUCCAUCAUUUUCUCUUAGAACAAACAUGUCCCCUGAGCUGCUGAACACCAAUCGUUUGCCUUGACUACCUGGCACGUUCCCUGACGUGGUCUUCGUGGAGAAGUAAGGGAUGUUGGCAUUAUCUGUUGUGACGGAAAUGAGCACGAGGUUUCCAUCACCUUGCAAGCUCAGCCGGAACCGCCCUUUUGUGUAGUUAGUCUCCGAUUGUCUACACGAAAGCGUCCCGUUUCUCUCAAUUGUCUGUCCAGGCAAAACGGUGUCUGUAGGAUUGCUGAAGGUCUCCCACAAGCUCCCCGAGUUUUGGUGUUGAAGGACGAAGUUUCCGGUGUCAUUCAUGACCCCGUUCGCAACAGUCCCCAAGGUUAUUUCGGAUUUCCAUAUCUCUCCACCCUGAGGAUUGUUAAGAACUAGUCCACUGUUGGCAGUCAAGUUCAGAACUGAUCCCCUAGGUGCAACCAUGGGGUUGUUACCGUCAUAUGCAUACCAAAACUACGGUUUUGUCUGGGAUUUUCGCAUACCAUAUCGAAAGCAAGAAACGAUCAUUGUUUCCGAGGGGCGAAAAUCCAAACGCGAAAUCACCGGAAGGAGAAAGCCAUGAUGAGGAGUCGCCUGUAGUUGCAGUUAGAGAACUCCCAACUGCUACUCUUCCAUUAUUUUGGGAAAUCACAGAAAUUGGUAGCAAAAACAAAGAGGAGAACAAAAGCAUCUCUACAGAAAGAGCCACUGCCAUUGCAAAAGCACCAAUUUUUCAACUUGGCUUGAUUGAUUAGCUAUAUUUCUUAGUAAAGCAUUGGUCCUUGUUAUAUCUUUAAGUAAAUGCGUGUGCACCAUGUGCCUGUCAUUUUCUAAGUUUUUGCCUGGAAUUAAAGGCGUCUACACCAUUUUUUGAAGUCACACACAACAAUAUCUCCGGGCCUACAGAAUAAAUUCUCCGAACCUACACAUAUCACAAGAAUUUCACUUUGAAAAAAAAAAUAUAAUGAAUAGUUCUAUAUAUAAUGACACCGAGACUUUUUGUGAUUGAAUUUAUUCUCUCUCAACUCCUUUGUAAUGUUGCAAGUUGGAGCAAUAUUGACGUAAUUAGCAAUGGUCCGCUGACUUGUCUCUCUCAAAUCUCUUAUCAUCCUACUCUCAUCCCUCGUCUGUUUUAUGAUUCUACUUACUUAAGCACUUAUAAAUGUUCCAAAUCAGCAAAGGACUUGUAACUUAAAUAAUUAAUAAUAUUUAUCACUACACUCGAGAUUCUAGGUUCCAAAAUAUAAUAUAUAAUAUAUAUGAAUGUUUCCGAACCAAAAGGACAAGUAAAUACGAGCAUGACUCACGCUGCAUGGGUCGGCCAUUCAAGUCCACCAGUCAAAAUUCAACAAUGGGGCCCACAAAGAAAAUUUGAAAAAGUACAUGCAGAUUGGGGACGGAUACAAAGAAAAUCUGAAAACAGACCUCCAGAACCAAACAAAGACGACUAAGCCUUUAAGUCAAGUGACAAGAGACUUAUAUCUUCACAAAAACAAAGACGACUAAGUCUCAAUUUCUGUAUUCACAAAAAAAAAAGUACUAACUGAAGUUUUUAAUGUAUGAUUACGUCGUUGGGGUAAAACACCCGAUGCCGAGUUGAGAUAAUCACAGGGUUGGGGAAUCAAGAACCUCUUCGAAUGUCACAAUCUAGCGCAAACGGAUGUAGAGACUCAAACCACUUAUUUUAAAUCAUACGGCCUUCAUUAGCCUAUCCUAUUGACCCACAUGGUCCAAAUCUGUCUCUCCCCUCUCUUGAACGGUUUGGAUAUCUCGAUUUGUCGAUUUUGGAUUGCGAGAUUCAAAGAGAAUCUGAUUUCAUGUUUGAGGUGAGGUUUGACGACCAUUUGAAGCCCGUUGAGGCGUGGCCCAUCUCAUCAGGUCGGGUCAGCCAUUUCGUACCAGGUUGGAUCCCAGGUCAGGCCAACCAUUUCAUUAGCCUAAGAUGGACCUGACAGACGAGGCGCUUGGAUAUUGCCUACCGCGACCAAAUGGACCCAUGGACUCAUUAGAUGAUGAGUCUGGACCCUGGUGUGUGUAAAGCCCACCUCAGCUCGAUCCAUAUUCGAUCGAUACUACAAAGAAGGUGGAUAUGAGGUAAAGGUAGAGUAAGCUCCAAGUCAUGUGGAGGUCAGUCGAGAUUGAACACACGUUCAUAGAAUCAUAGUAUCAAAUUCAAGUCCAAAUUUUAACACUACGAAACCGAAAAGCAUUGUUUCAGUCCAACAACCCAAACUUCCUUAAAAAAACUAAGACAAAAACGACGACACUAGGAAACGGAAAAACAUGCAACUCAGAAAACCAUUACUCUAGUCCAAAUGAGGUUCCUCAAUGCCUCAAGCUUUUAUAAAACACCAUAGCCUGAACCUUUUCCUUUGCGCCUUCUUUGCUUCACCAGAAACGUUCUUAAUGAGCUCCUCUUCAAAUUUGGGACGAGCAGGCAUUAGGCUGUGCACAAUGCUGUAAACGCCCCUAGCCCUUGCCACACCCUAGGUGCGUACGCGUGCAUGUCCG